AUGGUGUCACAGACACAAGUCCUCAUAUCCCUGCUGCACUCGGUGUCUGGUGCCUGUGGGGAGAUCGUGAUGACCCAGUCUCCAGCCUCCCUGACUAUGUUAGCAGGAGAGAGAGUCACCAUCAGCUUCAAGUCCAGCCAGAGUCUUUAUGAUAGCUCAGACCAGAACUACUUGGCCUGGUACCAGCAGAAGCCAGGGCAGGUUCCUAAGCUGCUAAUGUACUGGGCAUCCACACAGGAGACUGGGGUUCCUGAUCGGUUUACUGGCAGUGGAUCUGGGACAGAUUUCACUCUCAGCAUCAGCAGGGUCUAG